UACAGAGGUCCCAAGCGUUGUUCGGAUUCACUGGGCGUAAAGGGUGCGUAGGCGGUUGGGUAAGUCUGAUGUGAAAGCUCGGAGCUUAACUCCGAAAUGGCAUCGGAUACUAUCCGGCUAGAGGAUUGGAAGGGAGACUGGAAUACUUGGUGUAGCAGUGAAAUGCGUAGAUAUCAAGUGGAACACCAGUGGCGAAGGCGAGUCUCUGGACAAUUCCUGACGCUGAGGCACGAAAGCCAGGGGAGCAAACGGG
rnacentral:rRNA from 1 species